GCGGAAGGGGCCUGUCACCGUCCGCUGGCGACGUCGCGGCUGGAGUUGAACCUGGUGCGGCUGCUUUGUCGCUGUGAGUCGAUGGCGGCCGAAAAACGAGAACCGGACGAGUGGCGUCUGGAGAAGUAUGUGGGUGCCCUGGAAGACAUGCUGCAGGCCCUGAAAGUCCAAGCAAGUAAACCGGCCUCGGAAGUGAUCAGUGAGUACUCCCGCAAAGUGGACUUUCUGAAGGGCAUGCUGCAGGCUGAGAAGUUGACCUCCUCCUCUGAAAAGGCUCUAGCUAACCAGUUCCUGGCUCCUGGCCGCGUGCCCACCACAGCCAAGGAGCGGGUGCCUGCCACCAAGACUGUACAUUUGCAGUCUAGAGCACGUUACACCAGUGAGAUGCGGAGUGAGCUGUUGGGCACGGAGUCCUCUGGAGAGCUGGAGGCAGACAUGAGGAAGCGAGUGUGAGUAUUCGGCCCCUGGCGUGACAGGGAAGGGAAGUGAGUGGCUGAAGCUGGGGCCCCUGAGUUGCUCUAAGGACCAGCUGCCUGCUGGGAGUCCUUUCUGGGGCUGCGGUUCCCAGACUGUGAAAGAGCAGGGGAAACUGAGUCCCCAGUAGAACUGAGGGUGGUGCCAUGGCCCUGGGAUCCUUGGGAAGUGCCAUGUGGAUGUCUAUAUCUCCCUGUCACUACUGGGGAUCCACAAAUGUGGGGUCAGCAGUGUGAAGGGGCCUAGACCUGCAGAUGAGAAGCAGUCAGCGUCCGAGCUAGACCUCGUCCUCCAGAGGCACCAGGGCCUCCAGGAAAAGCUGGCUGAGGAGAUGCUAGGCUUGG
rnacentral:lncRNA from 1 species